UACGAAGGGGGCUAGCGUUGCUCGGAAUCACUGGGCGUAAAGGGUGCGUAGGCGGGUCUUUAAGUCAGGGGUGAAAUCCUGGAGCUCAACUCCAGAACUGCCUUUGAUACUGAGGAUCUUGAGUACGGGAGAGGUGAGUGGAACUGCGAGUGUAGAGGUGAAAUUCGUAGAUAUUCGCAAAGAACACCAGUGGCGAAGGCGGCUCACUG
rnacentral:rRNA from 1 species